rnacentral:rRNA from 1 species
GACGAACGCUGGCGGCGUGCUUAACACAUGCAAGUCGAACGGUGAAGCGCCUUCCUUUUUGGUGGGUGUGGAUGAGUGGCGAACGGGUGAGUAACACGUGAGUAACCUGCCCCCUUCUUCUGGAUAACCGCAUGAAAGUGUGGCUAAUACGGGAUAUUCUGGGUCUGUCGCAUGAUGGGUCUGGGAAAGAUAUUGUUUCGGUGGGGGAUGGGCUCGCGGCCUAUCAGCUUGUUGGUGGGGUGAUGGCCUACCAAGGCGGUGACGGGUAGCCGGCCUGAGAGGGUGGACGGUCACACUGGGACUGAGACACGGCCCAGACUCCUACGGGAGGCAGCAGUGGGGAAUAUUGCACAAUGGGCGCAAGCCUGAUGCAGCGACGCCGCGUGAGGGAUGGAGGCGUUCGGGUUGUGAACCUCUUUCGCCAGUGAAGCAGGCCUGCCUCGUUUGUGGGUGGGUUGACGGUAGCUGGAUAAGAAGCGCCGGCUAACUACGUG